rnacentral:rRNA from 1 species
AAAGCAUCUAAGCGCGAAGCCUGCCUCAAGAUGAGAUUUCCCAAUUCGUAAGACCCCUGGAAGAACACCAGGUUGAUAGGCUCGGGGUGGAAGCGUAGCAAUGCGUGGAGCUGACGGGUACUAAUCGGUCGAGGGCUUAUCCUA